CUAAGAAUCUUCCGCAAUGGGGGGAACCCUGACGGAGCGACGCCGCGUGGACGAUGGAGGCCGUAAGGUUGUAAAGUCCUUUUCCUGGUGAAGAAUAACUCGAGGAGUGGAAAGCCUUGGGGAUGACGUUAGCCAGGGAAUAAGCCCCGGCCAAUUACGUGCCAGCAGCCGCGGUAAUACGUAUGGGGCGAGCGUUGUUCGGAGUUAUUGGGCGUAAAGGGCGUGUAGGCGGCUCAUCAAGUCUGGUGUGAAAAUGCAGGGCUUAACCCUGCAGAUGCGCUGGAAACUGGUGGGCUUGAGUUCUUGAGGGGAAGCUGGAAUUCCAGGUGUAGGGGUGAAAUCUGUAGAUAUCUGGAAGAACACCGGUGGCGAAGGCGAGCUUCUAUCAGAGGACUGACGCUGAGACGCGAAAGCGUGGGGAGCGAACAGG
rnacentral:rRNA from 1 species